UAAUUUUACAAAUUAAAUUAAUGCUUUUGUCCAGAUUACAAAAUGAAAAUAUGAAAUUAUGUUUGAUGCCUUGUAUAAUACAUGAAAAAAAUUGUGUUAACAUUUAUAACAAAUUAUUAAAAUGAUGUAUUUUUUCCUUUUUAUUUCAGACAAACUUCCCCCAUCUCCUGCAGAGAACCGUGAAGUCCAGGAGCAAAUGCUUCCUCAAGCCUAAACCACAAACAGCUCUGCACACAACAACCUGAGAGAAGACGUGUCAGCUCGUUCUUCUCCAUAAACUGGAAUUCAUUGAAUUUGUUGAUUGUUCACAUCAUAAAAUCUGUUAAAAAGAUCUAAAAUCUAAAAUAUAGUUGCAGAUGCUUAUUAGUCAAGAUUUAAUGGAAAGGAGUUUGAAAAUGAGUUGGCAAACAUUACAUCAUUAACUUGUUAAAUUAUUCUGAAUAUGUUGUUUUCAGUUAAAAAAAA